GAUGAACGCUAGCGGCAGGCUUAACACAUGCAAGUCGAGGGGUAGAAGGAGCUUGCUCCUUUGAGACCGGCGCACGGGUGCGUAACGCGUAUGCAAUCUACCUUUUGCAGAGGGAUAGCCCAGAGAAAUUUGGAUUAAUACCUCAUAGUAUGUGAGGAUGGCAUCAUUUUCACAUUAAAGUCACAACGGCAAAAGAUGAGCAUGCGUCCCAUUAGCUAGUUGGUAAGGUAACGGCUUACCAAGGCUACGAUGGGUAGGGGUCCUGAGAGGGAGAUCCCCCACACUGGUACUGAGACACGGACCAGACUCCUACGGGAGGCAGCAGUGAGGAAUAUUGGACAAUGGGCGCAAGCCUGAUCCAGCCAUGCCGCGUGCAGGAUGACGGUCCUAUGGAUUGUAAACUGCUUUUGUACAGGAAGAAACACUACUUCGUGAAGUAGCUUGACGGUACUGUAAGAAUAAGGAU
rnacentral:rRNA from 1 species